rnacentral:lncRNA from 1 species
AGGCCCAUGGCCAAGCAGUGGCUGGAGGUCUCCGAGGAGACUUCACAGCCUCUGGGCAGCCUGUGACAGUGCUUGGCCAUUUCUUUCUUCCUUGUUAAGUAAUACAGAGUAUGGCCAGGGCUGGAAAAUAAAGCAGGAGGCCUUUGGUUUAGCUUAGCUUAAAGAGGCCCUCCCAGAAGCCACUGUCAGUGAGCGAGUCCUGAAGUGAAGAGCGUUGGUGGGAAGAAGUAUUUCUCUUGUUAUGUCACAGUGAGUGAGUUCUCCUUUUGUGCUGACUGCUUCAAGAGGAGCUGAACGGAAUCCUGGAGCUUACAUCUGACUGAUGCAGAAGCACUCAGUGGGCACUGAAGAGAUGUGUACUGCUGUAUUUAGUGUGGCUCUGAUCUUGAACAUGAAGAUGAAAAAAAUUAAGAAGAAAAUUAAGAAGGAAAAUUCAUGCUCAUCAAAACCCAUGGAGAAUCUUCAGUACAUGUUAAACAGCUCCUCACUGCUCUGUAAAACCAGGCUGCGUUCCCUGCAGUGCAAGAGGAAAACAAUGCCACUAUCAAUAAUCUACAGAAGCACUUCUACCAGAUACCUCUGUUUUCAGGAAAAAUUCCAUUUGUCCAGCACUUCUGGCUAGUGUAGCUAUGAGUUAAUAUAUCUUUUUUACCUUAAAAAAAAAAAAAAAAAUUGAUCAAGGCCAAUCUCAGUUAUAAAUGUCUAAAUGUUUUAUAGUUUUGACAAGGUAGCUUCUUCCUCAUCCUUCCUUGAAAUACUAUCUAUAUAACUUUCCUAAUCUGUGUUUUUGCAUCUAUAUAUCUAUAGCUACCUAUGUACUUGAUUUAUCUCUGUAUUAGUAUAGCAGUAUUUGAUCUAUAGUGCCAAACACUGGGAUGUACUUUAUGGUAACAAUAAAAUACACAGACUUUG